rnacentral:rRNA from 1 species
CAGCAGCCGCGGGAAUACGAAGGGUGCAAGCGUUAAUCGGAAUUACUGGGCGUAAAGCGUGUGUAGGCGGUAUGUUAAGUCUGUUGUGAAAUCCCCGGGCUCAACCUGGGAAUGGCAAUGGAUACUGGCAAGCUAGAGUGUGUCAGAGGAUGGUGGAAUUCCCGGUGUAGCGGUGAAAUGCGUAGAGAUCGGGAGGAACAUCAGUGGCGAAGGCGGCCAUCUGGGACAACACUGGCGCUGAGGCACGAAAGCGUGGGGAGCAAACAGGAUUAGAUACCCCGGUAGUCCCUGUCUCUUAUAC